rnacentral:rRNA from 1 species
CAGAGGAUGCAAGCGUUAUCCGGAAUGAUUGGGCGUAAAGCGUCUGUAGGUGGUUUCAUAAGUCUACUGUCAAAGAUCAGGGCUUAACCCUGAGCAGGCAGUAGAAACUAAGAAGCUUGAGUACGGUAGGGGCAGAGGGAAUUCCCGGUGUAGCGGUGAAAUGCGUAGAUAUCGGGAAGAACACCAAUGGCGAAAGCACUCUGCUGGGCCGAAACUGACACUCAGAGACGAAAGCUAGGGGAGCGAAUGGGAUU